UUAGAAGGUUGAAAUUCCAGUGGAGUUAAAAAGAUACCAUAGGUAAUUUCUUUUUAUCUGCUUAAGGUUGAUGGGUAGAGUUACUAGAUAUACUUGUGUUGGUGCAUUGGCAAGGUUAGUGCAAGGUGUUUCGGAGACUGGCAAUUGGAUAAUACUCUGAAUUUUUUUUGUCAUAUCUUCUAACUCCGUAGGCAUUCAGAUUUCUCCUAAGAAUAAUGUAUUACUUGAGGUAUUUCUUCUGUUCUAAGCUACAGUCCUAUCCCUGCCUAUUCAAGAAUGAGAAAAUGAUCAGACCAAUUAAGUGUCUAGCAACUGGAUAUGUAGGAAGUGGCAACACUCUGGAUUCCCCCUUCUUCCAGAAUGAAUGGAUCAGAAAAGGGGCUUGAUUCUCUAUUUUCGGGCAGGGGGUGAAGGCCAUAGGAGAAGAUUACCCUACCAAUAAGGAAGAGGGGGAAAAGUGUUGUCAUCUAUCUCGAUCAAUUUCUUGAGGCGUUAUAAAUCCAUCCUGGCUCAAAGAAUUAUUCUUGCUAUUUAACCCUUCGUUCCGUCAACAAAAAAAAUCAUCCUUGACGAUUUUUCAUUCCUUCUCUGCCGAGUUCUGCCUUUCGAACAAGUGAUUGCGCUAGGAGUGUCGUUUCUUUUUGUAACAGUUUCAUCGACCUACCAACUAGGAAACUAAGCGUGCAAUCACCACUUAAGUGGUCCGAUCAUUCUUCUCAUCUUUAUUUUUAAUUUGUAGAAAAUUUUUAUGGAGUAUGUAUAUGUGGUUUAUCUGUUAAAGGAUAUUUGACGUUCACUAGGUGUUUGAAAAAAUGUCUUAGCUAGAAAAGUUAUAUUUUGUUUGCAUUGUUAAGUAAACUCUGGAUUUGUGUACUUUUAAAUUUCUUGAAUGUUUAGAAUUGUACCAUAAACUUGGUGUUGUCACAUGGCCUCAUUGGUGAAUGGUACCCCUUCCCAUAUUAACAUGAAAGGUAUUUCUUUUUAUUUGCUCAUGUUUUAGUUUUGCUUAUGAUUUUAAAGAUUCCAUUUUUAACAACCUUUCUAAAUCCACUGUCUUAAUGGUGAACCGUUUGUAUUUUACACCUCUAACUUCCUUAAGCUACAUUUCUUUUUUGUUCUUGUACUUCCUAUUAUGCCUUUUUCCUUAAUGGGUCUUAUUUUUUAAUUGCUUCAUGCAUAGGCCUUUUCAUGUUUUCUUGUUUCAUUUUUUGUUUGUGAGUGUGCAACUAUGUGUAGAACAUAAUGUGUUUGGUUUUAAAGAUUUAAUAUUUUAUCAACCAGAGAGGUCUUUAUCCCCAAUGUGGUUUUCUCGAUGCGAAUCCAAAUUUGAUCGGCCCCAAUGUUAUCAUAAAUCCAAGAAUCUUUUUAGAAACAACGAAAGUCAUUGUUUAAUAGCAAUUCUCUUUGUUUCACACCUCUAGCCUCAUUGAACCCACAAUGGUUAUGUACUUCUCUUCUUCCUUCAUAUCUGUAUUUUCCACAAUGUAUACCAAUUUUCUCUCUCUCGAUCUCUUACAUCCUUUUAAUUAAUUUUUUCUAAAAUUGUCAAGUUAUCUAAAAAAAGUUAACGGGAAGUAAGCUGUCAGGAAGAAGACACUACCCAUGCAGUUUUAACUAGAGUGAAUAGUGUAAGUUCUUUACCUGGUCUCCUGCUUUCUACUCUUGAAGCGUUAGAAGCUUCAUAAAAUUAAUGUAGGUAGGAAAGUUGGUAAUGUUUGGACAAAAAAACACAUUGAAAUGAUUUGUGUUAAUUUUCAUUUUAGGUUUACAUCCACUUUUGACAACGUGAAUAAUAAGUAUUAUCCAGAGCCUGAUUUGUUAGAAGAGAUGGCCUGGUAAGGACUUUGAUUUCCUUUGUUUCCAGCUUGCUAAGUGGUCUUUAUCUAAGAUACAAUUACCCAUGCUACUAAAUUUUGUAUCCCUUUUGCAAACAAAUCGCGACUACUCAUGGUCCUGUUGGGACAACAAAGGAUACAUAUUCAAAAUUGAUAAGGCUAUGUAUAAUAUUGGCCGUGAAGCGGAAAAUUCUUGAAAUCAUGGGUUCUAGAUUUCAAAAUGGAGGUGAAAAUUUCUGAGUCAAUUAUUCAUACGAGUGUUCGUGCGACUGAACAUUUUUUUUUCCGCAACAUUCUUUUUCCUUCCUUUUCUUUGUAUCUCAGUUCACAAUUUCUGACUUACAUGGUAGAUUUUCUUAAAUAUAUAUUUUUCUUAUCCCUUCACGUCUUCCCUUUCAGUCCUGAUUGUUUGUGACUUGUGCUAUUUAGGUAGAUUAAUUUCCCACUUAAGAGCUAGCACUUUGUGAUUUUUGGUGUGCAAAGAUGUCGAUAUGUGGUGGUAAGUAUUCUUGUUCUAUAUUAUAGAAGCCAACAAGUGGGAGAAUGAGCACUGCAAUUAGAAGAUUGUACCAAAAACAACAAAAAUCGUAUUUUCGAUAUUGUGAAUUAUUUUAGGGUUGAAUUGGUUCCCCUUCUAACACGUGUACUACUGCCAUAGAAACAUGUAGUGCUAUCUCUACUUCUCUCCCUUUCCUUAUCUAAAACUUCCAUACAGUCUCUUCGACUCCACAUAAAAAUUGACUUCAACAUUGCUCCUUCUCUUGAGAUUUCAUUCCUCAGGUAAGUAAUCUUAUUUUGAGAUCUUCCCUUUCAAUGUAUUUGCAUCUAUGUGUCACGGUUUUUUUGGGCAAUUCGGUAAAUUAAUGUAAUGUUAAGUUUGGUUGACAUCUACAUUCUUAACAUUUUGCAUAUUAUAGUGCAUGGUGUCGUAAUAUUGUUCUUGAUGAAGUAUUUGGGAUCUGAAAGUCUCUUCAAAGGUGCAAGAGAUACAAUUGAACUUCUAAAGUUCUUUAAAAUUGCAAUGUUCAAACCAUUUGAGAAAGAAGAGCGAAGGUCUUUUCCAUCCUUCACAGGGAAGAGAAAAAACAGAAAAUUACCAAUUGCAUGUACUGCCAUAUUAUCAGUUGUGGAAGAGCUAUAUGUCUGACAUGCUGUCAGCUAUGCAGCUAUUUCCAAAACUCUACCGACAUCACCAUUAGUUGUUGCUGCUGGAUUGGCUGUUGAUAAUCUUAUUUGUGCAGUAUACUUCACAACAUUAUUUGCAUCGACUUCUAAAAUACCUGUUGAGGCUACUCAAUCACCCACUGUUGCAACUACUAUUAGGACUGUAUUGCUUUUUGGAUCAUUCCGAUGCGAUUACUUGGUCAAGAUGGCUGGAAGGUAGCUGUCGCUCUUAUUGGAAGACACAAAGGUGGAGGGUUGUCUUGAGUUCAACUCCUAGAAAAAAGUCAUAAACAAAAACGGGAUGAUAAAGCAUUCAAAACUUCUUUGAUUGAUCCAAGUGAAGGCUUGCUCACUGAGAGUGUUGAAACAUUAAUAAGAACUCACUAACUUAUGAAUUUUAUUUUUCAUUUUUUAUAUUAUAUAUUAUGUACUGUAUUUGAUUUGUUUGUUGAUACUUAAAAAUUAAGGUACAUUUCAUAUGAGAACCUAAAUUUAGAGGGUUUAUUUGUAAUGCCACAUGAGUAAGGAAUUUGAGACUUUUUUUUUUGGGAAGCAAGAAUUUUCCAAGUUCUUUACUUUGUUGCUAAGUGGAUUUUGGUAAAUGGUAUAUAGGUAGUUUAAAAGUUUUCAAAAUUGUUAUACUAUUGUCUCAUCUGGUGUUACAUAUUAUCCGCACCUAUUUU